GGCUCAGUGGCAAAGGAUGCACCUGCCCAUGCAGGAGACACGGGUUCGAUCCCCGAUCUGGGACG
rnacentral:tRNA from 1 species